rnacentral:hammerhead_ribozyme from 1 species
AUCCAGAUGAGGAGUCCCAAACAGGACGAAACGCGCGUCCUGGAU